rnacentral:rRNA from 1 species
AGGGCACCACCAGGAGUGGAGCUUGCGGCUUAAUUUGACUCAACACAGGGAAACUUACUAGGUCCAGAUAUAGUAAGGAUUAACAGACUGAGAGCUCUUUCUUGAUUCUACGGGUGGUGGUGCAUGGCCGUUCUUAGUUGUUGGAGCGAUUUGUCUGGUUAAUUUCGUUAACGAACGAAACCUUAGCCUGCUAACUAGCUAUGCGGAGGGAUACCUUCGCAACUAGCUUCUUAAAGGGACUAUGGCCUUUUAGGCCACGGAAGUUUGAGGCA